UACGAAGGGGGCUAGCGUUGCUCGGAAUCACUGGGCGUAAAGGGUGCGUAGGCGGGUCUUAAGUCGGGGGUGAAAUCCUGGGGCUCAACCUCAGAAUUGCCUCCGAUACUGGCAGUCUCGAGUGCGGGAGAGGUGAGUGGAAUUCCCAGUGUAGAGGUGAAAUUCGUAGAUAUUGGGAAGAACACCAGUGGCGAAGGCGGCUCACUGGCCCGUAACUGACGCAUGAGGUGGGCGAA
rnacentral:rRNA from 1 species